CCAACCCUAGCCUUCAGUCUUCGGUCCUCACUCUUCAGUUCAAUCAGACACCACUCUCGAGCCUCCACCCUACAGCCCUCCACUCUCGCCUCUCGCACUCAGUGGCCACGCAUGCAGUCUCUACCUCGAGCCACCGCCGCCGUCGCAACACCUCCAUCGAAGUCACUCACCGUCGCAAGUUCGUGGAGCCGGCUUGGAGAUUCGCGCAGCCCUUUACGUCGAAGUCAGCCGUAGAAAUCGCAGCCACCGCCACCACUCCUUGCCGUCGCGCACUGUCGUCCUGAGUGACCUGAAGCCCUUGCCCCUGUCUCGAGCCCCAUUCCUGAUUCCUCAGUCUCAUACAUACUCUCAUUAUUUCUCCCCAAAACACAACCCUAGCCUCCAUCGCGCCCCCGUUGGUCGCACUGUUGCCGCCUGGUUCGUCGUGAUCGUUCUUCAAUCCUCCUAUUUCGUGGUGCUCGAAGGCCCUUCCAUUCCCCCAAUGCCAAUCCUCCUACUGAUUGAUGAUAAAUUGAUACUGCAAAAACGAACAACAAGGGGAAGAAUGAACUUUUGUGGUACUGGUAUGAACGUCUUCUGUGGGAUUGAAGCCUGAGAUCAGGAUCUCUUUUAUUUGCCUCUGAGUUCUUAAAAUUGAAGUGUGAGCGGAGGAGGGAGUGUUCCAGCACCAAAAGCAUCUCCUGAGACUUAACAAGGAUUGUUAUGAUGUUCUUAUAGGUGAAUAAAAAUGUUGCUGCUUUGACAACUAAAGCUAAGGUCAGAAAGUUGUCAGUUUUAAAAAGGGCUGAAAAAUCAUUGAGGAAAGAGGAUUUAUAAUGUUAGGUGGUCGCACCAAAGACAAAGGUUAUGGCCAGGAUUCAUUGACAAAAAAGCAUUCACUUUCGUCUUCAUUUAAUAGCAAGUCAGGUUCAUUUUUCCCAGGGCAGAAACAUUGGUAGCCCUGAGCGGCAAGAGAGUAAUAAGGACCGCUAGAUAUCUGACGUCUUCAACUGAUAUCACAGAUUAGCACAUUGGAAUCCACUAGAUAUCACAGAUUUGGUGGAACAAAAUCCCCAUUAUCUUGGAGAGCAGAAAAAUCCUUCAUCAUUAGCUUUGUGUCCAGCAACUAAGAACUGCAUAUCAACAUAUGAGAAUAUCACUCAUACCAUUCAUUAUGCUCCAACUUGGUUUAUUCUGAUGCACUGGAUGGAAAUGAACCAUUGGCUUUGGACAUGGGAAGCAUGGGGAAGGGUCAGGUUGUUGAUAAGCGUUAUUAGCAGAAAAAUACAUAUAGCAAGAUGUGUCAACAAGUAUUUCUGUUAAGCUAAGCAGGGCUCAUCUUUCUGAGUGAAAAGCUGCAUGGAAUGCAAAGAUAAUAUCCUAGUCCCAUCGUUAUUAGAAGCACUAGAAAUUAAAUUUAGGACUAACAAGUAGAUUAUGGAUUGUUACUAUUCCGUGAAGAAAUUUUCUGCUAACAAUUUCAUCUUGGUGAUUCUAUUUUUUGAAAAGCUUUCAAGCUUAAUGGACCAUCAAAAUUUUUCUAUUUGGUGUUUGUGCACUUUGCACUUUAAGCGGAUUACUAAGUUACUUAAAGAUCAUAUUAGAAAUUUAGUCCCUAAAAAAUAUACUUGACAUGAGAUU